rnacentral:tRNA from 1 species
ACUUCCAUGGUGAAAAGGUAAACACAUUAUACUCAAAAUAUAACGCAAAUAGCUUAUUGGUUCAAGUCCAAUUGGAAGUA